GAUGAACGCUGGCGGCGUGCCUAAUACAUGCAAGUCGAGCGAACAGACGAGGAGCUUGCUCCUCUGACGUUAGCGGCGGACGGGUGAGUAACACGUGGAUAACCUACCUAUAAGACUGGGAUAACUUCGGGAAACCGGAGCUAAUACCGGAUAAUAUAUUGAACCGCAUGGUUCAAUAGUGAAAGACGGUUUUGCUGUCACUUAUAGAUGGAUCCGCGCCGCAUUAGCUAGUUGGUAAGGUAACAGCUUACCAAGGCAACGAUGCGUAGCCGACCUGAGAGGGUGAGCGGCCACACAAGAGCGUGGACACGGACCAGACUCCUACGGGAAGCAGCAGUAGGGAAUCGUCCGCAAUGGGCGAAAGCCUGACGGAGCAACGCCGCGUGAGUGAUGAAGGUCUUCGGAUCGUAAAACUCUGUUAUUAGGGAAGAACAAAUGUGUAAGUAACUAUGCACAUCUUGACGGUACCUAAUCAGAAAGCCACGGCUAACUACGUG
rnacentral:rRNA from 1 species